rnacentral:lncRNA from 1 species
CUGAGAUGAGGGGUUCAGGCCAGGUUUCAGAGUCCCACCAGGCCUCCCUCUUGCAACAGAAGGAAAGUCCACACUGAGGAGGAUCAUGGCCUGCUACGGUCGAAGUGCAAGGCACACGUCAGAAGCAGUGGCUCCUUCUGCAGCAGGACUCACCUACUGACUCAGAAGGACGUCCUCCAGGGACAGCCAGCUCCUCCUCUGAGCGCACAGCCCAUGUCCUCUGCUGUGCACUCCUCACGUGAAUGGACCCCACCUCGGACCGGAAGCCACCUUGGGUUGGAGGAUGCCAUGAAGUCUCUCUGGUUCAACGUGCAUGCACCGUCUCACUUAACCUGGGUUACUCUGUAUGAGGUGGGGUAGCCAGUCUCAGCAGGAUGGUUUCUGAUGCCUCUGACCUCACACUGCCCCUGUCCCACAACCACCCCCAGACCCCUGCCCACCUAAAAAUUCUCUUUUCCUAGUUCUUCUAUCAUCCUGGAAGAGGGUUGGGACAAGAAGCUAAAGAUAAGAAGCUUUUCGGGCAAAUGAAGAAUACUGAAGAAAAGGCCAUUCUGCGGUUGCACAGAAAAGGCCAACAUGGACAUCUGAGGACAGACAGCACAGGAGUACAGGAACUAAUGCAAAUUGCAUGUGAAUGACAUCCCCACGCAGGCCACUACUGACCACACUUACCCUCCCAUUUCACACACCUGCUUGGGACUAUCCUUCCUGGAGGCCACUGGAACUUCUGGAGUCACCUGCAGCACUUCUGAUGCAUUUCCUAGGUGGUGAUUUCCCAGCCCUGACACUGGUGACAGCUGUGGGUCUUACUCCACCAUAGCCAGAGGAGAAUGUGUCUGCCACUGCAUCAGCGGAAGGAGAGGGAGUUGGGGGUGGUCACCAGCUUCCCAGGCCUCACUUUCCCCACUUAUAAAUGAGGGGCUGGAACUUUUCAGUUUCCUUGGACCUUUUAAUUCAGCCCUCUCAGAUCUGAUGGCCUCGUGGUAGGAAUGCCCUUCCUCUAAGGGAAUUACAGUGAAAAUGACUGACUCCAUCUCAACAUCCACCAGCCCCGUGAAAAUGUGCCCCACCUCCUUCUGCUAAUUUUGGCUUGGGGGCCUCCUGGACCUGCAGCAGAGCUUCCCUUGCUUGGCUGAGCAGUUGUUAAAUGAGCUGCCUUCUAGCCAAGCAUAGCACAUGAGCCCACUGGCCUAUCUAUUAGGAAAGAAGGUCUAAGAGAAAUCAGGGUCUCAAUGCAAAGCCGCA